UACGUAGGGGGCAAGCGUUGUCCGGAAUCAUUGGGCGUAAAGCGCGCGUAGGCGGCUAGAUCAGUCUGCUGUAAAAGUCAAAGGCUCAACCUUUGAAAGCCGGUGGAUACUGUCUAGCUAGAGUCCGGAAGAGGCGAGUGGAAUUCCUGGUGUAGCGGUGGAAUGCGCAGAUAUCAGGAGGAACACCAAUGGCGAAGGCAGCUCUCUGGGACGGUACUGACGCUGAGACGCGAAAGCGUGGGGAGCGAACAGG
rnacentral:rRNA from 1 species